UAGGAAGUAGUAUAUUUGGAAGUACUUGGGGUUUUGAUCUUCAGGGUGCAGGUUCGAGGCCUGUCUUUCUAG
rnacentral:tRNA from 1 species